ACCCUCCUCAGGCCUGGAACCCAGUCAAACCACCCUCCUCAGGCGCCUGUUCCUGUAAGCGUAGUGUAUUAUGGUCUUACAGUAUACUAUACUAUCAAACCCAGUCACCUGCUCUCAAUUCCAUGCCUCCUCAAGUACAUCCAAACUGGCAUCUCAAUUUUCAAGUUCCUACAUCAUUUUCGUCAUCUACUGAGAAUGCAAUUUCAACUGGCAUACUGCUGAAAAAACAUAGGAUUGAAAUUAUUCAGGCUGUGGCUAUGGCUAUCAUUGUAAACACGAAGGAAUUAGACUACGACAAAGUCUGUGAGAAGCUCAUUCACACUCAUCCUACACUCAAAGACGAACUUGAACUCUCUGGAUAUUCUACAUGGAACCUUCAGAAUAGGAGAAGUUUCUGAGACGAAAUCGCAGAGACAAAUCUGAUGUAAGUGAAGAACCAGCAGAGGAAGACGAAGAAGAAGACACUUCAUUUGAUGAUAAGACAGUCGAUCUUCAGGAGGAAAUGGGGAAGCGUAGCAGAGACAGAAAUAUUGCACAUCUGAGACCUUUGAUGGUAGGUGAGACUGGCUGAAAAAGAACCAGCCUCUCGCAUCUGAUGUUUUGUUGAAGUUUCCCUCCCUUAAACUACGCAAAGUGACCCCAAUUCAUACUCUGGUGGAGGAUUGGAUUGUAUGCUACUUUAAAUUGGAAUCAUACAACCGAAAAAGACUCCAAGAUAUUCUUACCAAGAUGGAUCAGACAACCAAUGAUGAGAUCAAAAGUAAGGCUGUCUCAUAUUAACUGUGUUCUUACAUAAUAAAGGUGCCCUAACUCUUCAAGUGUUGUCAGAAAUGCUCAAACCAAAGUCACGAAAAGAAAUGCUCGUUCACUUUAUUGAGAAUUCUGAUGACUCGUUGGUGAAAGAAUAAAGACCAACUCUCCAUACAUUCUCGACAGCAGAAGAAGUGUCUUUCCACAUAAUGGUGGAACGCAAAUCUAUCAGUGAAGUUUCAACAUUUAAGAGUGCAGUAAUUCAUUUGAUAGCUUCAUAUUUCAUUUUUGACGUAGUAUAUCCAAAGCAACACAUUAAUUCUUUUGCAACAUCACAUUUUUGGUCUAACUGACAAACAACCUAAACCACCAAAUUUGAUAGAAAUGGUCACAUCACUUAAGAGAAUGGAUACUGUGUAAAGUAAAACUGAAUCACAUGCAUGUAUUUCUCUUUCACCUGUGCACUUAGUAUACAAAAGGGACCCAGUGGCAGUCAUAGUGUGACAGCAAAGUAUCCACAGACAUCAGACACUUUUUAUAUCUAUUGUUAGUUACACAAAGAAUUAUAAUCGUUACUGAUGGUAAAAAAAAAGUUUUUCAAGGCUCGAAGAACAAAAGGCGAGGCUAUUAUUUUACUAUUCAAGGGCUAUAUAUAUAUAAUUACAUAAUAGGUUAUAAUUUUAUGUUAUAUACACACGAGUUCUAAACAUAAUGUUGGUGUAGUCAACAAACGUAAUACGUAUCCUGGCUCACCUCGCUGCUACUGCCACUGUUCCUCUGUUCACUGUACAUACGUGGCCCCACCUCCGGAUUAUUGGAUCCAGUCACACCUACAUGUAGUGUACGUACGUACACAAAGAAGGCUAAGGCUAAUCAAUGCUGCUUAUGCUUAGCACUACCAAUUCUAGAUACAACUACUAUCUACCAUGUACAGUCAGUACCAGACCAUAGAGCUUCUACAAACGCAUACAACAAGUACUGUAGCAACUACAACCGGUUGAUUAAUUUUAUGGGCCUGAUUUUAAAUAAAUUGAAGUCUGUGAUGCAGGCCCUAAAGUAGACUACUCUAAACAUUCAGUAGAGUCAACAUACAGCUUACAACAUACUACCACUGCCACUGUUUCUCUUUACACAUAUAGCUGCCUCAGCCACACCCAGUACCUUGUGUAGCUGCAGCUACUAUAAACUCUACAGCUACGUCCUAUAUACUUACUACAAUAAGUAUUAGGCUGUAUGAAGCUUCUAGCGAACCUAAAAAGCCAUGUAACAAAGCAGUAUUAUACGUAACUACUACUUACCUUACCGCUUGACAGAAGCAGAUCACAGCCAAUCCUUCGAGUUGACUGGUCUUUCUUCCUAGUCUAACUUCCUAGUCUAACUUGCACAAUCAAAAGUCGAAGCGCUUUCAAGUUACGAACAGUUUUCUAAGAACUGAUUAAUUUGUGCAUUUUUAAAAAAUUAAUAUGGCUGCGGGGGUGUUUCCGCAACGUGACGUCAUGGCGUAUAAUCGGUUAACUUCAUCGAUUAUCAUUGAUCCUUGAGCAAUAGGCAAGCAAUAGGCAAGCGUACUGAUUCUGUUCCUAUUUUAAAACACAGUAAUUACUUAAUUGUAUCAUACCUGUUUUCUUGGAAGCUUCAUUUUUUUCUAACAUGUAAUCCUUGGUGUGCAAUCACCAGCACCUUCCAAAUUUGCAUACUUUAAAGUACGGACACACGGAAGUUGCACCAUCUUGAAACUCAAAAGGGCUGCAUAUGCUGCCGGACUAGACAGUACACUGCCAGAGCUGCAACGAGAAAACCAAUAAUAUGCAAUAACUUUCAUACUUACCCAUCCUUAUACUUAUUUUGCUCCACUUGUUACCUCUGCUUUUAGUUGCCCUGGAAACUAGAAGAGAUAGGUAUAAUUAUAAGUGAUUUUAUUUGCCCUGAAACAACAGCUGAUCUUUUUCAUUUCAAGUCUAGAGUAGCAUUUGUACAACAUACUGUAUUCUGAUAGCUUCAGUAUAGGUUUGCUUAGGCUAUAGUUAGUAUAGCAGUGGAUAUCAUGAGCCACCAUUGAACUUAUAAACGUGUGUGUAGGUGAAGAAAAUGUUUCCUGGGAAAAGGGCGUCUGCUGAUACGACCUCGCAGAGAAGUUUCGGCAGAUCCUGAUCGAACCAUGAGAACACUUACUUAGUGUCUAUAGUCACUUUGUGCCUUCAUACAAUAUUGUUUGUGUACAUAAUAGUGAAUGUAUCGCUAAUUAGUUGGGGGUGGUCAGUUGCUAGGUAACGAUGAUGAUAUCAUAGUACCCCCGGGGUCUGGGCUACCUGUAGGAAAUACUUACGAGUGAUUUCAAUGUAUGGUUCAUGGAAAAACAUGUAUUUAUUCUGUAUUUUCUUGUUUUAAUUAAAGCCGGGAAAGGGUUAAACUUUCAUUAUGGUGACUUUAACCUUUUAUUCUGUAGGAUUCAAAGUGAUCGGAAGGAUGAACACUGACUGGGAUGCGUAAUAUACAUGCCGUGUGAUAGUUAUUCCAAUACACAUUUUCAACUUAAACUUUUGAAUGAAAUGCGAUGUGUUCAUAACCGUUUUUGAGGUGUGAUUUGAACGGAUGAUAGUUUUUCAUUUCUGAUGGUUGAAUGAAUGUAAAACUGCUUGAGAUACCUUCAAUCAAAGGGUUGUGUAUUCUUGUGCUUUAAAAAAUAUUAUGUUAUCCGUGCCAACAGUGUAUGAUGUCGGUCAAAGACUGGAACUUGCCAGUCCACUAGGCUCUUUUUUGAAAUUUAAUUCUCUUGUAUAUCAGCCACUUCGGAUAGUAAGUGUUCACUGUUUAUUGCCUGGACACUUACCGGCUAACCAUAGUUGAAAUUGGUAGUUGUGCAUACAUGGCAGAUACCUUAGCAACGAGAUUAUCGUCGUAGUCAUUUUAACUACAAUGUAAAACAAUAAUUAAGAAUGGGACGAUCAUACAAUAAUUAACAAACCGGGUCCAUACUCUGGAUUUGUUAAGUUAAUGAUUAAGAGGGACGCAUCAUUCGUAUUUAAUGAAAGACGAACUAGUGCGAAAGCAUUUGCCAAGGAUGUUUUCAUCAAUCAAGAACAAAAGUUAGGGGUUCGAAGACGAUCAGAUACUGUCGUAGUCCUAACCAUAAACUAUGCCGACUAUAGGGAUCGGUGGAUGUUAAUGUUUGACUCCAUCGGCUUUGGGUUCCGGGGGGAGUAUGGUCGCAAGGCUGAAACUUAAAUGAAUUGACGCAAGGGCACCACCAGGAGUGGAGCCUGCGGCUUAAUUUGACUCAACACGGGGAAACUCACCAGGUCCAGACUUAGUAAGGAUUGACAGAUUGAGAGCUCUUUCUUGAUUCUAUGGGUGGUGGUGCAUGGCCGUUCUUAGUUGGUGGAGUGAUUUGUCUGGUUAACCCUUUAACCGUCGGAUUCUUAAUUAACAGUGAAGUGAAAUGUCUGUAAAUUCUCUAUCGGGUUUCCAGAGCAAUAAAAUUCCUAGCAACUAUAUACCAAUAGAAUGCCCAUACAACAAGGAAUAAAAUGGUGCAACAUGUGUUGCCAUAACAACCACGGUUAUUACGCUGACCCGUUUUUAUCAUUUAAAAUGCUCGGCCAGCGGUGAGAUAAAACCCAAAAUUUUUUUUUUUAUGGAUCAGCCUAUCAUAUGGUAUAAAGGCUUGACUAAGCUUGAUUUUCGAAUGUAACAGUGCUAAGAUAUAUCAAUUUGAAGUACAAUACGUACAUGUAUUACUAUGAAAUUUACAAGCUCACAUAAAGACUGUUCAUUACUGCUAAUUCUAUUUUAGCUAUACUAUACUUACUACUGAUAUUCUAGCUAUACUACUACUUGCCAGAGUCACACAGUGAGCCCUCUCCUGGUCUUUCACCGCCCUGGUUUUUCACCGCCCUGGUCCAUAGCUCUAGCGUCUAGGUCCAUGCAUGCAUGUGCUCAGUCCUAGACAGUUCAUCAGCGUCUGGCAUAAAGCUGGUAGCCUUUGGGAGGUAUCCUACUAUCCCCUCUCCUUCAUAGGCACCAGAGGAGACAUCGCCAUUGCUGUCCUCAAGCUGUUCAAGCACAUCGGCACAAGUAAACAACUUCGUGCGGUAACAUAACAACGUGGCUUGGAAAAUUCUAGCACGUGAUUCUACAGCUCUUCCUCUAUACAGGGAUGUGCGUAGUUCCCUGUAGUUCCCUAAGUAUCGCAGAAUUAGAAUUUCGCAUCACGUGACGGUUAAAGGGUUAAUUCCGAUAACCUUAACCUGCUAACUAGUCACACCAUUCCCGAAUGGUGGCCGACUUCUUAGAGGGACAACUGGCUCCGAAGCCAGUGGAAGUUUGAGGCAAUAACAGGUCUGUGAUGCCCUUAGAUGCCGCACGCGCGCUACACUGACGAAGCCAGCGAGCCUCUCCUAUGCCGAAAGGUGCAGGGAAUCUUGUGAAACUUUGUCGUGCUGGGGGAUUGAUUUUUGAAAUUCUUGAUCAUCAACGAGGAAUUCCUAGUAAGCGCAAGUCAGCAGCUUGCGUCCCUGCCCUUUUUACACACCGACUACCGAUUGAAUGGUUUAGUGAGAACUUUGGACUGGAACUCUCUUGUUCAGCAAUGAGCCGUUCUAACUGUAUCAUUUAGAGGAAGUAAAAAUCGUAACAAGGUUUC